GAUGAACGCUGGCGGCGUGCCUAAUACAUGCAAGUCGAGCGAACGGACGAGAAGCUUGCUUUUCUGAUGUUAGCGGCGGACGGGUGAGUAAAACGUGGAUAACCUACCUAUAAGACUGGGAUAACUUCGGGAAACCGGAGCUAAUACCGGAUAAUAUUUUGAACCGCAUGGUUCAAAAGUGAAAGACGGUCUUGCUGUCACUUAUAGAUGGAUCCGCGCUGCAUUAGCUAGUUGGUAAGGUAACGGCUUACCAAGGCAACGAUGCAUAGCCGACCUGAGAGGGUGAUCGGCCACACUGGAACUGAGACACGGUCCAGACUCCUACGGGAGGCAGCAGUAGGGAAUCUUCCGCAAUGGGCGAAAGCCUGACGGAGCAACGCCGCGUGAGUGAUGAAGGUCUUCGGAUCGUAAAACUCUGUUAUUAGGGAAGAACAUAUGUGUAAGUAACUGUGCACAUCUUGACGGUACCUAAUCAGAAAGCCACGGCUAACUACGUG
rnacentral:rRNA from 1 species